GGAGAGAUGGCUCGGUGGUUAAGAGCACUGAGACUGCUCUUCCAGAGGUCCUGAGUUCAAUUCCCAGCAACCACA
rnacentral:tRNA from 1 species